AAAUUUGAAUCUCAAUUUUGCACAGAAAGUAAAUGAUAGAUUCCUGAAAAUUAUAAAAUAUUGUUCAUGCGAAGAAAACAAGUAAGACAUUUUUGUGGGAGAAACAAAAGUAGAAACUGAAGUAAAAUAUGACAGAGACGGGAGACGAAACACAAGGAUGAUCGACGCGUUCGUAUGCUGAGAGGUUCUACGCGUUCGUAUGCAGAAGUUUGUGAUGGCAAGAUGGUGAGUGGCAAAGUCAUGCGGGAGGUUGAACAGGUAACGGUGUUGAUGUUGUUGUAAAAGGUCAUAUCAAUGAGGAUCAAGUCGAAUUAAGACACAAUUCUAGUAACGAGACAUUCACGUAAAACAAAUUACCAAUCGAAAUGUGGAAUUAAGCGAAGUACAGACGAUGGAAAUGUGAAACAUCGAUAAUGGAACAAAAUGCAAGUUGAGAUCAUACUGCACGUCUGAAACUAUUGAAAAGGAGAAGAUCAUGAUAAACAAAUGAUAACAUCAUCCGAUGUCAUUAAUUUGCAAUAGCCAAAGUUGCAAAUUACACGAAAAUACAAUUUUGGACUAACAACUUGUCCUAAACAUUUGAUAAAAGAAUUACAUCAACCGAUGACAAUAAUUUGAGAAUGUCAAAGAUGCAAAGCAACUGGAAAAGUCAAUUUUGGACAAAAAUACUGGAUUUACGAACAAUUCACAAUACUCAGCAAGAGAGAAGUCAAUGCACUCUCAAAAUUGACCAUAGUCAACUCACAGCUGGGUUAUGAAGCAUAAUUCAUGAUGGAAACGACAAUUGCACUAAUCGACGAAAUUCAACACCUUAGCCUCGAAAACUGACCAAUUGACCAAGUCACUGUGGAAUGAUUAGCCUCACGAUAAAGACGAAUUUUGAUGGAAGACGACGACGAUAACAACCAGCCGAUCAACACAGUUCUACAACAACAACAAAUUUUGCUUACAGUGGGAAAAAUGCAAUUAUUUUUUUAGGAGAGAUAAUGAAAAUUAAUUUCAAAUGCAAGUUUAUUUAAAUCAGUUUCAAUGAAAAUAUUUUAACAAGAGAAGUUCAAAACAGUAAAUCAAGUAAUUUAACAGGACAGAAGAUCAAAAGAGUAAUGAAAAUAAUUUUAAAGUAGAAAAAUCAAAAGAACAAUUAUAAUUAUAAAGCAAUUUACAAGAAAGCACAAGAAGAACAAAUUGUAAACCGCGCGAUCACUACACCCGACAAUGUUCUUUCCAUAGAUGAUCAUUUCUUUCAGACGAUCAUCUAGCUGAUAAGUGUGGGGGAGAUUAACCGAACCAAUUUUUUUUGAAUCAUUUUUUUUAAAGCCAGCCAUUAAAGUAUCUUUUUAUGAAUUUUUGCAAAGUAAUUUUUACACAAUUUAAAUUAUUAACUUUGGGAAUAUUAUUUCAACCUACAAAUAACUUUCGAUAGAUGUUCUUAAUGCUUUUCAAGAAUACAAACAUCUAGCUGGUAAGUGUGGGGGAAUGCAGCGACCUCAAAUUUAAAUCAUUAAAUUUGUCCAUUUUUCGAACCUCACCACAGUUCUGACCAUGCGCGCUUACGCAAGCAUAAAUAAUUUUACCCGUCGACUCGCGUUGCGCGACAAACAAUUAAGCUUAUAUACAGGUGUGGAUCAUGAGUCAUCCUCACCUGAAAAGCCCUUUAUUAAAUUUCGCCAAUUGUUAGGCAAUCAAAAAAAUGGUUAAGCUUUCAAUUAUGAAUGUGCGAUGUUAUUACACAGGGGAAAUUGAGGGUGUGGCUUAACCAAAUUCAUUGGCAUGUUUGUUCAAUGGAGAAUUCGACCUUCUCAUUAUUGACCAACAUUUUUGAGAAUGUUUUAGGAACAUAAUUUUGAUAUUCCAAUAACAUAAUUUAAAGUUUCACGACAAUGGUUCGAACCCAUGACUUCCGAUUUUGAGGUGUACUCACUACACCAUACGGAAAGUCAUGAAGAAUUGCAGAGGUCUGCAUAAUUUAAUUCAUGAGGUUCAUCGAUGCUUCUCAUCGAAACGGACCACUUUUAGUAGAACAAAAUUUAGUAGAGUUUUCGGGGACUGACUAUAAAAACCCCAAAAUUCUUGAGGAGGGCAGUUAGUUCCAGUUAGUUCCAGUCAGUUCCAGCCAGUUCAAGCCCAGUCCAGUUCCAGAUCCUGAAGAAGCCCCAGACCAGCCGGACCCGCCAGCAGCCACCAGUAGCAGAGGCCCCAGUCCAGCCGGACUUAGCGGUGGAGGCCGCAGUCCGCCGGGACUUAGCCGCUGUGAAGAGUCCGCCGGGACUUAGCCGCUGUGAAGAGUCCGCCGGGACUUAGCCGCCGUGAAAAGUCCACCCGGGACUUAGGAGUUCGGGGUCUGGCAUGGCUCGGCGAAGAGGUCUGGAGGACAAGUCUGGCUUCAACGUAGAGAACUGGCUCGACGAAGAUCUUAAUGCAAAGUGAUGUGAUCGUGCGCGUAAAAGUUGAGAGUGUUACUGCAAAAAUGUAAUCUUUAAAAAGUGUAAUAUACAGAUAAGUGAAGUUUACUGAUCUGUUUUGACUCUACAAGUAAAUAUCACAAAAAUCCUGAAAGCCUAAACCGCUCGGGCCGUUCAGGUGGUGACUAGCGGAAAGCAACGCUGUGUGUGUUUGGAAUCGCCAUUAUGAUUGGACAAAACCGAGAGUUGAAAAUGUGACUAUGUGUGAAAGUUAAUGAACAGAAUGAUUUCGGGAAGUAACAAACAGUUAAAAUAGUGUAAAAAAAAAGUUUAAUUGAAGAAAAUGUUAUGUGAGGAGUUCUAAGAUGGAAGCUAAUGUGCAGCAGUACGAGAUGGAACCAAAACGGGCUCGACCAAUAGCAGAAGCAUCGAAAAUUUCAAAACCGGCCAACGAUGGACAACACUAGGGAUUCAACAAUGACGAGAUCAUCUGGAUCAACUGGAGACGAAAUUCAGCCGCAUCGAACACCCAAGAAGACGACCAUGGAAAUCUGGCAGUUUAGGAAUUUAUUUUCAGAAUGUUAUAUGCUUAUACGAAGGAUUUACAGGAAACCAUUGGAAGACGAUCAAGAAGACAACAAUUUCAACAAGAACGAAUAUGAACUACAGCUCAAGGAAAGGUAAAAUUUGUAAGUAUAUCGUGGGGAAUCAAAAAAGAUCGAAAAGGACGGUAUAAGUUCCGAUCUAGGGAUACAUAAACUGAUAAAGCAACGCCAAAGGGAUUAAAAAGUAGACAAUUGUACUCUACGGGGAGAGUUCUUAUGUCGAAUAAAGCUUCAAACAGUUGUAAUCCAUGGGGGGAUUCAAUAUGUUAAAAACAUUUCAAAACAUUUGCACUUUACGGGGUUAGUCAAAUGAAAAUUAAAGGGAAUGGAUAAAUAAUGCUUCAAGGGAAAAUCAAGGGAUAAAUAAUGCUUCAAGGGAUUUUCAAGGGAUAAAAUAAUGCUUCAAGGGAAAAACACCUUUAAACUGAUAAAAUUCAGAGGAAAAAAAUCAGAUCGUUAUCAUUAGAAUGAUAAUUGAACCAACUAAUUAUCUUGCAAAUUCAGCAUUUAUUGCGAAUUGCUCAAAUAAACAAAUUAAUUUAAUGGGUUUGACAAAUUUGAAAACACAAAGUGAUGUACAGAUUUCAUAAAAAGUUGGAAGAACAGAAAGGAUAUUCUAACAUGCGCAGUAUUGCAAUGACAAGAUGAUAGGAUGUAUAGAUCAAUGAAAAACUUUAUAGAGUAAUUUUCUUAUUCAAGUAUAAAAAUAAUAGUCAAUUAGAACUGAUUUUUUUUAGUAUUGAAAAUAAUAGAACUGAUUUCAUAUAAAAAUAUCAACAAGAUUUAUAAGAUUAAAACAAGUAAGACAUUUUUGUGGGAGAAACAAAAGUAGAAACUGAAGUAAAAUAUGACAGAGACGGGAGACGAAACACAAGGAUGAUCGACGCGUUCGUAUGCUGAGAGGUUCUACGCGUUCGUAUGCAGAAGUUUGUGAUGGCAAGAUGGUGAGUGGCAAAGUCAUGCGGGAGGUUGAACAGGUAACGGUGUUGAUGUUGUUGUAAAAGGUCAUAUCAAUGAGGAUCAAGUCGAAUUAAGACACAAUUCUAGUAACGAGACAUUCACGUAAAACAAAUUACCAAUCGAAAUGUGGAAUUAAGCGAAGUACAGACGAUGGAAAUGUGAAACAUCGAUAAUGGAACAAAAUGCAAGUUGAGAUCAUACUGCACGUCUGAAACUAUUGAAAAGGAGAAGAUCAUGAUAAACAAAUGAUAACAUCAUCCGAUGUCAUUAAUUUGCAAUAGCCAAAGUUGCAAAUUACACGAAAAUACAAUUUUGGACUAACAACUUGUCCUAAACAUUUGAUAAAAGAAUUACAUCAACCGAUGACAAUAAUUUGAGAAUGUCAAAGAUGCAAAGCAACUGGAAAAGUCAAUUUUGGACAAAAAUACUGGAUUUACGAACAAUUCACAAUACUCAGCAAGAGAGAAGUCAAUGCACUCUCAAAAUUGACCAUAGUCAACUCACAGCUGGGUUAUGAAGCAUAAUUCAUGAUGGAAACGACAAUUGCACUAAUCGACGAAAUUCAACACCUUAGCCUCGAAAACUGACCAAUUGACCAAGUCACUGUGGAAUGAUUAGCCUCACGAUAAAGACGAAUUUUGAUGGAAGACGACGACGAUAACAACCAGCCGAUCAACACAGUUCUACAACAACAACAAAUUUUGCUUACAGUGGGAAAAAUGCAAUUAUUUUUUUAGGAGAGAUAAUGAAAAUUAAUUUCAAAUGCAAGUUUAUUUAAAUCAGUUUCAAUGAAAAUAUUUUAACAAGAGAAGUUCAAAACAGUAAAUCAAGUAAUUUAACAGGACAGAAGAUCAAAAGAGUAAUGAAAAUAAUUUUAAAGUAGAAAAAUCAAAAGAACAAUUAUAAUUAUAAAGCAAUUUACAAGAAAGCACAAGAAGAACAAAUUGUAAACCGCGCGAUCACUACACCCGACAAUGUUCUUUCCAUAGAUGAUCAUUUCUUUCAGACGAUCAUCUAGCUGAUAAGUGUGGGGGAGAUUAACCGAACCAAUUUUUUUUGAAUCAUUUUUUUUAAAGCCAGCCAUUAAAGUAUCUUUUUAUGAAUUUUUGCAAAGUAAUUUUUACACAAUUUAAAUUAUUAACUUUGGGAAUAUUAUUUCAACCUACAAAUAACUUUCGAUAGAUGUUCUUAAUGCUUUUCAAGAAUACAAACAUCUAGCUGGUAAGUGUGGGGGAAUGCAGCGACCUCAAAUUUAAAUCAUUAAAUUUGUCCAUUUUUCGAACCUCACCACAGUUCUGACCAUGCGCGCUUACGCAAGCAUAAAUAAUUUUACCCGUCGACUCGCGUUGCGCGACAAACAAUUAAGCUUAUAUACAGGUGUGGAUCAUGAGUCAUCCUCACCUGAAAAGCCCUUUAUUAAAUUUCGCCAAUUGUUAGGCAAUCAAAAAAAUGGUUAAGCUUUCAAUUAUGAAUGUGCGAUGUUAUUACACAGGGGAAAUUGAGGGUGUGGCUUAACCAAAUUCAUUGGCAUGUUUGUUCAAUGGAGAAUUCGACCUUCUCAUUAUUGACCAACAUUUUUGAGAAUGUUUUAGGAACAUAAUUUUGAUAUUCCAAUAACAUAAUUUAAAGUUUCACGACAAUGGUUCGAACCCAUGACUUCCGAUUUUGAGGUGUACUCACUACACCAUACGGAAAGUCAUGAAGAAUUGCAGAGGUCUGCAUAAUUUAAUUCAUGAGGUUCAUCGAUGCUUCUCAUCGAAACGGACCACUUUUAGUAGAACAAAAUUUAGUAGAGUUUUCGGGGACUGACUAUAAAAACCCCAAAAUUCUUGAGGAGGGCAGUUAGUUCCAGUUAGUUCCAGUCAGUUCCAGCCAGUUCAAGCCCAGUCCAGUUCCAGAUCCUGAAGAAGCCCCAGACCAGCCGGACCCGCCAGCAGCCACCAGUAGCAGAGGCCCCAGUCCAGCCGGACUUAGCGGUGGAGGCCGCAGUCCGCCGGGACUUAGCCGCUGUGAAGAGUCCGCCGGGACUUAGCCGCUGUGAAGAGUCCGCCGGGACUUAGCCGCCGUGAAAAGUCCACCCGGGACUUAGGAGUUCGGGGUCUGGCAUGGCUCGGCGAAGAGGUCUGGAGGACAAGUCUGGCUUCAACGUAGAGAACUGGCUCGACGAAGAUCUUAAUGCAAAGUGAUGUGAUCGUGCGCGUAAAAGUUGAGAGUGUUACUGCAAAAAUGUAAUCUUUAAAAAGUGUAAUAUACAGAUAAGUGAAGUUUA